rnacentral:rRNA from 1 species
ACGAACGCUGGCGGCGUGCCUAAUCCCUGCAAAUAGAACGCUGAAGGAGGAGCUUGCUUCUCUGGAUGAGUUGCGAACGGGUGAGUAACGCGUAGGUAACCUGCCUGGUAGCGGGGGAUAACUAUUGGAAACGAUAGCUAAUACCGCAUAAUAGUAGAUGUCGCAUGACAUUUGCUUAAAAGGUGCAAUUGCAUCACUACCAGAUGGACCUGCGUUGUAUUAGCUAGUUGGUGAGGUAACGGCUCACCAAGGCAACGAUACAUAGCCGACCUGAGAGGGUGAUCGGCCACACUGGGACUGAGACACGGCCCAGACUCCUACGGGAGGCAGCAGUAGGGAAUCUUCGGCAAUGGACGGAAGGCUGACCGAGCAACGCCGCGUGAGUGAAGAAGGUUUUCGGAUCGUAAAGCUCUGUUGUAAGAGAAGAACGAGUGUGAGAGUGGAAAGUUCACACUGUGACGGUAUCUGACCAGAAAGGGACGGCUAACUACGUG